rnacentral:ncRNA from 11 species
UCAGUUAUCACAGUGCUGAUGCU